rnacentral:lncRNA from 1 species
UCCAACACAAUUUAGGAGAGAUUGGUCAGUGUAUCGACUGGGAUACUUUCUAAACAAUUUUUUAUUACUAGAGUGCUAAUUGAAUUCCGAGUAUUCUGAGCGUGUGUUUAAUUUUUGCAGGAAGAAUUUAACCCUGUUAACUAUUCCAUUCUAAUUCUGUUGUUUCUUCCUUAUCGAUUAAUCUAUACUUAUUCAUGUUUCAAGAGAAUGUACGAAGCUGUUGAUAAGUAUGAAUCCUGUGUAACCGACUUAAAUGUAAUCGUAAAUCUAAGUAGCGUGCAAAAGUCUCCACACUACAAUAACCAAUGGAAAUUUUGUUUCUUAUAAAUUAACAUAAAGAUAGUUUUGACGUUAUUUUAAUUCUGUUCUUCCUCGAACCAUUCUUAACAAAUUUGUGAGCCAUGAAAAUCACAAAUGAACAUGUAUAUAAUAUAUAUGUAUAUAAUCAUCGUAAAGAGAAUAUCUGAAGAUUCAUUUUUAAAAAACUAUAUAGGAGCAUUUCCUAAAGAUAUGGUUAGUUGUUGUCAUAAAAUUCGAAUAUCGUAGAUAGCCCAAGGGUUUUGCAUUCCAUAGUACCAUAAAUCAAAGAAUUUACAUAUAAUACAUCGAUUUUUACCAGAACUGGUUCAAUUUUGCAAAUGGAUUUUGACAUUGUACGCGAACAAACUGACGUGGCUGAUCCAUAAAACGUCAGCCACUAAAGAGCAUUAGGUAAGAAGACUUUUGGAAGUGUUGAACGACGAUAAAAUAGAGGCCAGAUAUAACGAACCCCGGUCUACACCGUUUUCCAUACAAUCCGUAACAGUCUGACCCAGAAAAAUCUAAUCAUUACACAAACUAUCUUACUUGUCCCAUUUUGAAAUCUUCAAGACUUACAUUUUCAUACCAAAACUCGAAGGUAUGCUUAAAGUACUCUAAUAAUCCAAAUGACACACAUUAUGUAUAAAAUUAGACCAAAAAUUAAUCGAUAAGCAUUCUCUUUCCGAAGAACGAGAGAAACAAGAACGAUUUUCAGCUUCAGCGUCGACCUUGCAACUCGUGUAAGCUAUUUCACCUUGUCCCCCUUUUUUCCAUAGAAGAAUCUACCCGGUGUUCGUGAAAAAAUAACGGAUCCUCACUGGACGCUGAAAGCGGAAACCGCAUUGCGUUAUAUGAUUAAUCGGAUAUUGAUUAGUUCUAUCUCCACGUGGAAUAAAUUACAAUAUGGAGAAGGAACUUUACCGUCGAUACUCCAACUGUCAAAUUCAGCGAAGAAGAGCGGCAAUACAAAAUGAAGAAAUGCCAGAGGUUACCGGGUCGUGCUAAAAAAAGCAAACUGACCUUGAGCCGGCAAAAAAAGUAACUACCCGCGCACUGCUUGAUACUCAGCACGCGUGUUAUUGUUUUAACUCUGCUAUACGUUGAUCAAUUUGAUUCGAUGAAAGAUCGAUGACCGAGAAAUCUAACUAAUAGCCAACAUAUAACGCAUAAAGGAUAUACAGUCCCAGAUUUUGUAUCUUUUCAUUUUCGUUUACAUAGUUUUUGGGUCACUUUACAAUGUAUUUUAACAAUAGAUUCUAGCUGUUUAAUUCUUUUCUGGAAUUAAAACUUCUCAAAAAUUUUUUUAAAGGUAACAAUUGAAACACAAAUGUUGAACAGAAGAUUCGAGUAAAAUAUGAAAACAUUUGAUAAAAUAUAAAAUAAAUAUCUAAUCAGUGAAGAUAACCGACAUGUAGGUAGAAAGAUACUGCUAAUUCAAAAUUUGAUUGAGAUAUCAUGACCGGUAAGUAUAUACUUUUUUAAAGUCUCAAAUGGAAGAACAAGAAACAUUUAUAACCUAAUAGACAGGGACCAUAACGUAACAAUGCAAAAAAGAAUUAAAAGUAGGAAACUGCUUUACCGUCGCAAGUUAAGUAAAUUCCAUCUUCAAUCUAUUAUUAACAAUUUUUCGAAUUUUGUUUCUGGAGUGAAUGAUGGCGUAAAAGUCGCGCGUAACAUCCAAGAAGAAAAUCCACGUCUCUGCCAAAUACCUAGCGUCAAGAAAGCAACCACAUUUUUCCCUUGAUUUUGGCAACCAUCCCAGUUUUCACCGGAAUACAUCAGACGCGCAAAACCAAUAUGAGAAACGUCUUGAAUUUCCUCGCAGAUCGUGUAACAUGUAAAAUUAUUUACUUUCCUUUAAAUAUUUCGAUCGAAUCAUUUGGUAAAGUAUAUCGAAUUUCAUUUUAAAGUUUUUUUCCACGCGCAAGAUGAUUGAGCUUAAUAGUUUGUCAGUAUUUUUCUUUCAACUUCCAGAAGGUCAGAUGCUGGAGGAAAGAGAAAAAAUAUAUCGCGUGCGUAAAACAGCAUCUCGCUGAAAAAUUACGGCAAAGAUAUUACGGGUCAUCUCUUAUAUUUCACAAAGUCAAUAACGCAGUUACGUAAUCAGAUAAAGAGCACAAUUGGAAAUUAUGUAACUAAUCUUAUGAUGCGAACCUGCUAGUAAAUGCCUGAAGCGUGCGAUUUCAUUAAUUACGUUCAAUGUACUCAAGUAUCCUUCGCAAUUUUUUUUAAAUUUGGAAAAACAUAUUUCUGUAAAUAAUCGGAGAAUUGAUCAAAAUUGUGUAAUUUUUUAAGCUAAUAAUCAUUCAUCAACAUCUCUGAUAGUCUUUACAUAAUCAUGUUUAAAAUGGAUAUAGCAAAAACGAAAGUGACAAUAUUUUAAACUUAAUUCGAAACGCAGAUGACAGAGCAGAAAACGGUUCGCAUUAUUCGAUCAAUGGAUCACGCCUAUUACAUCAUAAGAAUCAGUACACGUGGAUCCCUGGCAGAGCAGAUUAUACGUUUACGCAACGAAAACGAGGUGGAACACAUAUCCUAGCAUUUUUUUUUAGCAUUUCAAAUCACCGUCUACGAUGGUAAUGUCGCAUAUCGUGAUCAAUGUAGAAACUUAUUAAAGAAAGAAGAUAUGUUAUUCACAGUCAAUGGAUCAUCUUGAAGCAAAUAUGAUGGCAAAAAAUAAUAGAGAGGGAAAGAUGUACAUAGUUGAACAUGAACAUAACCAUGUUUUAUUUGUAAUACCCAUAUGAAAAAUACGUAUGUAAGUAGAAGCGUGAAAGGUGAGGCGCGUAACGAGUACACUCGCACGUGACGAUGCUUCCAGUUUGCGUACAACUGCACUUGUAAGGCGAUUAAUAGGACCGAUCGAAUUCACUUAUGAUCUUUAGUUAUUCGCACACCGGUUUCGUCGUAUCCGUGCGUGUGUAACGCGUUGGGUUAUAUAAGAUAACGCGACACAUACACCUACAGCCAGUCACAAAAGUCCGCAUACACCUCUUAAAUUUAAGAGCAUCAAUAUCUUUUAGCAUCAAAUCUUAUAUUAAAUGUAUGACACAUAUUUAAAAAAUAAAAUAAAGAAUAGAAGAUGCAAUGCCUCACAAGAAUGCAUACGCUUAUACUUACAUAAAAUUAUAGAAAAAAGUAGACUUCGUAAUGUAUUAAUACUCCGUAAGUCUUACAGUCUUCCUGGUAUUGAUAAAGUUAAAUAUUUCGUAA